CCCCAAAAGAAAAUCUGUCACUGCUUCCAUUUUUUCCCCUUCUAUUUGCCAUGAAGUCAGACAUAUGUGGGUUCAAAUUUUACCUCUGCCUUGUAGGAGGUUUUUGACAUUACGCAAAUCACUUUACAUCUUUGUACCUUGGGUUCCUAACAUAUAAAAGAGGGUAAUAUUAACUACUUUACAUGGUUGUCAUGAAGGUUAAAGUAAAUGACAAGACACAUGUAGUGUCUUUAACACAGUGCUUAGUAUAUAGGAAGCACAUGCUCACUGGUAGCUAUAAUAAAUAUAUUUCUUCCUGGAAUGAAAACUUUUGGAAGUGAUGGCCCAGGAUAGAGUCUGUCUUGCUCACCACUAUAUCCCUGCCCCCAGCUCCUAGGGCCUGUGCAGCCUCUCUGGGUAGGCUGGUUCCUGCCCCACUGCGUGCUGAACAAGUGGGAGCUUGUAAACUAAGUAGGAUGUCAUUUUGAGUCAAUGUUGCUCUAAUUUCUUUAGACAUUUGUGAAGAACAAUUGGAUUUCCUUCAGUUUUAAUUUCCCUCCCUUCCCAGAUGAAUUUUCCAAAUGUCUACUUCCUAUUUCCUCCAUCAAGGCCAGAGUUGAAGGAAGCUGGCCUUCAAUUUCCAGCUAGGCUGGGAGCGCCAUAUGGGCUCAAGAGCAAAACUGUAUUGGAAAAGCAGCAGAAGCACUGAAAUGAAUUACUGUGCGAUGGGGCUUCAGAUGAUAGUACAAGGCAAAGCCUGGUCCUAAUUGGCAGUGGAGUUACUCAGGUUCAAGUUUUGAAACUGCUUUUGAAUUUGUCUGAUAAUCCAGCCAUGACAGCCGGACUUCUUGGUGUCCAAUUUCUACCCAACUCUAGCUAUGGUCAAUAUUAGCUGGAUAAUUCCCUGAAUCUGGCUUAUGUGGAAUCUUGCAAGGACAAAGAGGAUUUGCUCACUCAUCGCCCUACACUGUGAAAGAUUGAUCCAUGCUGGUGACCUACCGACACAUCCUUAACCACCUGGGUUGGAGCAUGAGUUGAUUCAGCAGGAAGCAGGAAGGUGAGUGGAAGGAUGGAGGUUGCCAAGCAAUGAGCCUCAGCUGUUGUCUGCAGCACUGUUAAUGGGGCUGAAUCUGCUCUGUGUUUAGCUUGAAAGCACAUUGCAAAGGCAGGCAAGAGGCAAAGGUCUGGAGAUGUGGAGGCAUAGAAGCCACAGAUUUUGCUUUUUAGCUUGUGUCCUGGAUGUGUGCACUGGAUGACAAAAGAAUCAUUGAAAGUGGACUGUGAUGGGCAGUCAAUCUAUCCUGGAUGGACAGGUUUCUAAGGGUUUUAAGGUCUUGUUAGUGGUAGAUGGUUAUCCUUGGAAUGUGAAGUGAGAAGUGCUUCCAAAAUGUUUUUCUUAUAGUUACUUAAACCCCAUCAUUAAAGAUCAUCCUUUAAGAAUUUUCAAAAGCAAUUUUUUUUUUUGGCCACACCUCGAGGUAUGCAGAACUUCCCUGACCGGGGAUUGAACCUGUACUUUCUAAAGUGGAAGGACAGAGUCUUAGCCAAUCGACUACCAGAGAAGUCCCCAAAGCAAUUUUUAAUAAAUUAACUUUAUUUAAUAGGCACUUAUGUGGCACUGACUGUAUGCUAGGCACUGAGGGCCUUAGAGAUGUUAACUACUAUAGUUAUUCCUUGUAACAACCCUAUGAGGCAGGCACUAAUUUUAGUCAUAGUUAUUCCUUGUAACAACCCUAUGAGGCAGGCACUAAUUUUAGUCUCCCAAUUUUAGAGAUGAGGAAACAGAGAGAGAGAGAGAAAGAGAGGUCCAAAAACUCACAGCCAAUGAAUGAAACAGCCAGGAUUGCAAAUCCAGGCAGGCUGGCUCCAGAGUCUGUGCUCUUAACCAUUAAACUAUGCUGACUCUCAUAGCAUAGGGUGUUCCAUUUAUAUGGGGGAUGUGUGACUCUUUCUAGUGAAUUUUUUUAACCUAAUCAUACUAUCAUCCCCUCCACCCAGUAGAGAGCAGGAUUUGGAAUGCUUUGAAUGGAAGGGGCAUAAAACGACCUGAUGAGACUGUUGGGGGAAAUGAUGCUGUCAGGAUGAGAAUCUUGUUAAAGGGCUAGAUCCCCCAGCACCGCUUCUCCCUAAAAACACAUCAUUCAAGGAACUGUGUUUUCACCUCUAUCUUCUAGUUUGUAUGAAUUUGAUUCUAGUGGUUAGCACUCAGUCUUACCUCUUGUUUUUAUUUCAUAUACUCAGAGGUGGAUUCUCAUGCAUCCAGGUAACAAAGAAUGGUUUGGGCUGACUGGGAAGCCUUGGGUGGCCAUCUUAAAACCAGUUCCCAGUUCUGUAUUCAGAGUCAGUGCACGUUGCUUUUCCAGGACAGCUCCUGGAGACUGCCCUGACAAGAUGACUUCCUCUUCCCUGAAUACUUUGUUGUUGUUGUUGUUUUUAACUUGGGGGCACACUGAGCAGCAUGAGAGAUGCUAGUUCCCCCACCAGGGAUCCAACCCACACCCUCUACAGUGGAAGGGUAGAGUCUUAACCACUGGACCACAAGGAAGUCCCUCCCUGAAUACUUUGGGACUGGAUGCUGCUCUCUGAUCACUCAAAGCCCCCAUUAGCUUUUCCCCAUCCUGCUUUUUCCUCACACUGUACUUCACACGUGAUGCCAACCAAGUAGGCAAAGGGUCACUUCUGUCUGUCCAGAGGGUUGUCACCUGGUGUCACAUAGCCCAUUAUUUUCAGUCUAUAACUGACUCUUUUACAUGCCCCUGUCUAUGGUUUUUCAAAACUUCAAUUUUCUGUAUUAGACUAACAUGUUUCCCUCAAUAUUCCAGAAGACUAUCAGAUGGAAAAGGGGGCUGUUGAGGAUUUGGAUGGGUAUCACCCCACCGAUCCUUGUCCCUGGAAUGUUGGCCCCAGCCAGAUACUAUAAUAAAGUCAGAAAUGCAAACACCUACUACGCACAAGAUGCUAUGUAAGCUAUUGCAUGCCCCAGGCGCUGCUCUGAGAUGACCUCACUAGAUCAUGGUAUUCUCUGCUCCAAGAGAAAGAAAAGGUAUCUUGACUGACAAACAGACUUUGUUCUCUGUGUGUAACUGGGAAUUCAGCUCCUACACUUUGGCACUGCGCUCAUUGUCUUCAUAAUUAAUGCUAAAAAGAACGGAUUCGGAAAGAACAGGGGAAUAAGAGGCUCAUUCUCCAGAGGGGGCCUUAGAAGUGGACUCAGUGCAUUUUCCCCCACCCCAUUAAUCCCCCAUGGUCACACGUGGGGAAUACGAAUGCCCUUCUCAGGCCCUCUGGUUCAAUUUCACCAGAAGACAAUUGACCUAUUGCCACUGUGAGGAGCCAAGCCUUGAACAAAGCAGCUGCCGAAAGGACUCUGUCAAGCUGGCAAUGAAUUAUUAAUAUGGCUCUGAAAGGGAACAGCAUCGGAAACCAGGUUCUUUAUUAUUUACAAUAAUGAGCCGGAAGAUGAUGCAGUGGACAAAAAUCCCAAGUUUGGAGAAUGCUGUGUACGAAUGAAGAAACAACGCAAAACUGCAAAUGUAAAUUCAGACUAAUACCUCUUGGAACAAAGAGCGCAAAGAGGGAAUUGUUUCAGAGCAGUAAAAGGCUAGAUAGAGCAGGGUGUCAAGUCAUUACCGAAAUUCCCUGCCGUCAGUUUGUUUGAGAAUGAAGCUCAGACUUAGGAAGGAAGAAAAAGACCCAGAUUGCCUGCUGGACAGACACAAUACAAUGCGCGCAUCAAAGGUGGUGGCGUUAUCUCUCUGAGAUGUGUGCCCAGUACAAUAUGCCAUUCGCUUCUUAUCUGGGUUGAAUGGUAAAUUAUUCUAAUACAAUAUCAUACUCUGCUCUUCAGAGAGAUUCCAAAUCUUCACAGUUUGAUUGGCAGAGGUGUGUAUAGGUGCGGGCUUUCUGUGUACUUCCUCUAAUGCAGAUGCUUUUCUUUCACUGCACAGAGAGCCCUCUCUCCCAUCAAUAACCUCCCUCCCUUUAUCAGAAAUGGUCCUUUGUUUAACCCUCUCUGUCUUGACUCCAGUCCCGUAUUUUGACUGUUUCACCGUGUAAGCCCCAGUGUGGCAAUGCCUGCCUCCACAGCAAGCCCAACAAUCUCCUGAGAUGAGAGACAAGACACCGUUUUGUCCCAUUAAAUUAGAUCCUCCCCUCAAACUGACAUUCCUAUUUUGUUUGAAUCGUACUUUGUCAUACUGUAUCUCUCAGUUUCUAGAUUUUUGGCUACUUGUCUUCCUUCCAAUUUCUAUCUUUUACAGAGCCCCCAGUUUCUGUUUUAUUCUGGCUUCAAUCAUCUGUGGCCUCUUGGUUAUUGUUUGCUUAUUAGGCUUCUGCCCCAUGAGUUCCCCUCACCUUCUCUGUUCCCUUUUGCUCUGAUACUUUCUUGCCUGGGUUGCUUGACGCAGAUCCAUUGCCUGCUGUGAUUUCUAGAACCUGCAUAAUUGCUAGUAAAAUUCCUUGCUUCACUGGCCUGUAUUCUCUCCUAUGGGGUACUUGGACUUGGUAUAAUUAAUACUCUGAAAUGAUGCCAUUAUGAAUACUUCUCCUUAUACAACUUUGUACUAUUUUUUCCCCAAUACAGCUUUGGGUCAAUUUGAACAGAGAUAGGAGGAUGGCUGACGGGUGUGUAUAGGCACCUAUACAUACGUAUCGACCCACUUGGAAAGUAAUUUGGUCACUUUCUGUUAAAUAUCUAUCACAGCAAAGCA